rnacentral:rRNA from 1 species
UGAGGAUUUUAUCUUUGUAUUGUAGCUAAGGCGUUAAGCACUCCGCCUGGGGACUACGGUCGCAAGACUAAAGCUCAAAGGAAUUGACGGGGACCCGCACAAGCGGUGGAGUAUGUGGUUUAAUUCGAUGCUACGCGAAAAACCUUACCACUUUUUGACAUGAAGGUCGUAUUCCUUCUAACAGGGGGAGUCAGUUCGGCUGGACCUUACAA